rnacentral:rRNA from 1 species
GACGAACGCUGGCGGCGUGCUUAACACAUGCAAGUCGAACGGAAAGGCCCUGCUUUUGUGGGGUGCUCGAGUGGCGAACGGGUGAGUAACACGUGAGUAACCUGCCCUUGACUUUGGGAUAACUUCAGGAAACUGGGGCUAAUACCGGAUAGGAGCUCCUGCUGCAUGGUGGGGGUUGGAAAGUUUCGGCGGUUGGGGAUGGACUCGCGGCUUAUCAGCUUGUUGGUGGGGUAGUGGCUUACCAAGGCUUUGACGGGUAGCCGGCCUGAGAGGGUGACCGGCCACAUUGGGACUGAGAUACGGCCCAGACUCCUACGGGAGGCAGCAGUGGGGAAUAUUGCACAAUGGGCGGAAGCCUGAUGCAGCAACGCCGCGUGCGGGAUGACGGCCUUCGGGUUGUAAACCGCUUUCGCCUGUGACGAAGCGUGAGUGACGGUAAUGGGUAAAGAAGCACCGGCUAACUACGUGCCAGCAGCCGCGGUGAUACGUAGGGUGCGAGCGUUGUCCGGAUUUAUUGGGCGUAAAGGGCUCGUAGGUGGUUGAUCGCGUCGGAAGUGUAAUCUUGGGGCUUAACCCUGAGCGUGCUUUCGAUACGGGUUGACUUGAGGAAGGUAGGGGAGAAUGGAAUUCCUGGUGGAGCGGUGGAAUGCGCAGAUAUCAGGAGGAACACCAGUGGCGAAGGCGGUUCUCUGGGCCUUUCCUGACGCUGAGGAGCGAAAGCGUGGGGAGCGAACAGGCUUAGAUACCCUGGUAGUCCACGCUGUAAACGGUGGGUACUAGGUGUGGGGUCCAUUCCACGGGUUCCGUGCCGUAGCUAACGCUUUAAGUACCCCGCCUGGGGAGUACGGCCGCAAGGCUAAAACUCAAAGGAAUUGACGGGGCCUCGCACAAGCGGCGGAGCAUGCGGAUUAAUUCGAUGCAACGCGUAGAACCUUACCUGGGUUUGACAUGGAUCGGGAGUGCUCAGAGAUGGGUGUGCCUCUUUUGGGGUCGGUUCACAGGUGGUGCAUGGCUGUCGUCAGCCCGUGUCGUGAGAUGUUGGGUUAAGUCCCGCAACGAGCGCAACCCUUGUUCACUGUUGCCAGCACGUUAUGGUGGGGACUCAGUGGAGACCGCCGGGGUCAACUCGGAGGAAGGUGGGGAUGACGUCAAGUCAUCAUGCCCCUUAUGUCCAGGGCUUCACGCAUGCUACAAUGGCUGGUACAGAGAGUGGCGAGCCUGUGAGGGUGAGCGAAUCUCGGAAAGCCGGUCUCAGUUCGGAUUGGGGUCUGCAACUCGACCUCAUGAAGUCGGAGUCGCUAGUAAUCGCAGAUCAGCAACGCUGCGGUGAAUACGUUCCCGGG